rnacentral:tRNA from 1 species
AUUAAGGUGGCAGAGUAGGCAAUUGCAUAAAACUUAAGCCUUUAUAAUCAGAGGUUCAAGUCCUCUCCUUAAUA